UGUGAGCUCGAUGAGUAGGGCGGGACACGUGGUAUCCUGUCUGAAUAUGGGGGGACCAUCCUCCAAGGCUAAAUACUCCUGACUGACCGAUAGUGAACCAGUACCGUGAGGGAAAGGCGAAAAGAACCCCGGCGAGGGGAGUGAAAAAGAACCUGAAACCGUGUACGUACAAGCAGUGGGAGCACGCUUAGGCGUGUGACUGCGUACCUUUUGUAUAAUGGGUCAGCGACUUAUAUUCUGUAGCAAGGUUAACCGAAUAGGGGAGCCGAAGGGAAACCGAGUCUUAACUGGGCGUUAAGUUGCAGGGUAUAGACCCGAAACCCGGUGAUCUAGCCAUGGGCAGGUUGAAGGUUGGGUAACACUAACUGGAGGACCGAACCGACUAAUGUUGAAAAAUUAGCGGAUGACUUGUGGCUGGGGGUGAAAGGCCAAUCAAACCGGGAGAUAGCUGGUUCUCCCCGAAAGCUAUUUAGGUAGCGCCUCGUGAAUUCAUCUCCGGGGGUAGAGCACUGUUUCGGCAAGGGGGUCAUCCCGACUUACCAACCCGAUGCAAACUGCGAAUACCGGAGAAUGUUAUCACGGGAGACACACGGCGGGUGCUAACGUCCGUCGUGAAGAGGGAAACAACCCAGACCGCCAGCUAAGGUCCCAAAGUCAUGGUUAAGUGGGAAACGAUGUGGGAAGGCCCAGACAGCCAGGAUGUUGGCUUAGAAGCAGCCAUCAUUUAAAGAAAGCGUAAUAGCUCACUGGUCGAGUCGGCCUGCGCGGAAGAUGUAACGGGGCUAAACCAUGCACCGAAGCUGCGGCAGCGACGCUUAUGCGUUGUUGGGUAGGGGAGCGUUCUGUAAGCCUGUGAAGGUGUGCUGUGAGGCAUGCUGGAGGUAUCAGAAGUGCGAAUGCUGACAUAAGUAACGAUAAAGCGGGUGAAAAGCCCGCUCGCCGGAAGACCAAGGGUUCCUGUCCAACGUUAAUCGGGGCAGGGUGAGUCGACCCCUAAGGCGAGGCCGAAAGGCGUAGUCGAUGGGAAACAGGUUAAUAUUCCUGUACUUGGUGUUACUGCGAAGGGGGGACGGAGAAGGCUAUGUUGGCCGGGCGACGGUUGUCCCGGUUUAAGCGUGUAGGCUGGUUUUCCAGGCAAAUCCGGAAAAUCAAGGCUGAGGCGUGAUGACGAGGCACUACGGUGCUGAAGCAACAAAUGCCCUGCUUCCAGGAAAAGCCUCUAAGCAUCAGGUAACAUCAAAUCGUACCCCAAACCGACACAGGUGGUCAGGUAGAGAAUACCAAGGCGCUUGAGAGAACUCGGGUGAAGGAACUAGGCAAAAUGGUGCCGUAACUUCGGGAGAAGGCACGCUGAUAUGUAGGUGAAGUCCCUUGCGGAUGGAGCUGAAAUCAGUCGAAGAUACCAGCUGGCUGCAACUGUUUAUUAAAAACACAGCACUGUGCAAACACGAAAGUGGACGUAUACGGUGUGACGCCUGCCCGGUGCCGGAAGGUUAAUUGAUGGGGUCAGCGCAAGCGAAGCUCUUGAUCGAAGCCCCGGUAAACGGCGGCCGUAACUAUAACGGUCCUAAGGUAGCGAAAUUCCUUGUCGGGUAAGUUCCGACCUGCACGAAUGGCGUAAUGAUGGCCAGGCUGUCUCCACCCGAGACUCAGUGAAAUUGAACUCGCUGUGAAGAUGCAGUGUACCCGCGGCAAGACGGAAAGACCCCGUGAACCUUUACUAUAGCUUGACACUGAACAUUGAGCCUUGAUGUGUAGGAUAGGUGGGAGGCUUGGAAGUGUGGACGCCAGUCUGCAUGGAGCCGACCUUGAAAUACCACCCUUUAAUGUUUGAUGUUCUAACGUUGACCCGUAAUCCGGGUUGCGGACAGUGUCUGGUGGGUAGUUUGACUGGGGCGGUCUCCUCCUAAAGAGUAACGGAGGAGCACGAAGGUUGGCUAAUCCUGGUCGGACAUCAGGAGGUUAGUGCAAUGGCAUAAGCCAGCUUGACUGCGAGCGUGACGGCGCGAGCAGGUGCGAAAGCAGGUCAUAGUGAUCCGGUGGUUCUGAAUGGAAGGGCCAUCGCUCAACGGAUAAAAGGUACUCCGGGGAUAACAGGCUGAUACCGCCCAAGAGUUCAUAUCGACGGCGGUGUUUGGCACCUCGAUGUCGGCUCAUCACAUCCUGGGGCUGAAGUAGGUCCCAAGGGUAUGGCUGUUCGCCAUUUAAAGUGGUACGCGAGCUGGGUUUAGAACGUCGUGAGACAGUUCGGUCCCUAUCUGCCGUGGGCGCUGGAGAACUGAGGGGGGCUGCUCCUAGUACGAGAGGACCGGAGUGGACGCAUCACUGGUGUUCGGGUUGUCAUGCCAAUGGCACUGCCCGGUAGCUAAAUGCGGAAGAGAUAAGUGCUGAAAGCAUCUAAGCACGAAACUUGCCCCGAGAUGAGUUCUCCCUGACUCCUUGAGAGUCCUGAAGGAACGUUGAAGACGACGACGUUGAUAGGCCGGGUGUGUAAGCGCAGCGAUGCGUUGAGCUAACCGGUACUAAUGAACCGUGAGGCUUAACCUUACAACGCCGAAGCUGUU
rnacentral:rRNA from 1 species